GAAAAGCUCUUCUCUUCCUCUUAUGUCUGCACCACGCAGACCACGCGCAGACGUUUGAGUCUGCAGAUUGUUUGUUUCCCAGAAGACAUUUCAUUUAAAAAGGUGUGACCUCUUUUUAGUGCAGAUGUGGAAAAGGGUCUUGUAACCUCUUCAAACAUCUUCUUCCCUUUCUUUCUACCUACCUAAAUCACAGAUCCACAACACAAAACCUAGCACACAUCCUCCUUCUCCUCCACCACCCCUCCUCCACCACUCCGGUUGCCGCCGCCGUUCACCUUAGCGCCGCCGCCGCCUCCUCCACCUUCCACCGCAGCCACCUUCCACCACCACCUUCUGCGGUUCACCUUCGUCGCCGGAAAACAGAUCAGAAAUCAACCGGUAAAAUCAGUCGCCGUAACGUUUACGAAGUCAUCGGAAACUUUUGAUUGUUCAAUGCUUGAUUCCACCGUAGAUUCGCCGGAAUAUGAGUUACAUAAUCGCCGAAGAUGACACCGGUAAAGAGAGAGAGAAGAGAGGAAUCAAAUCAGUUAUUUGAUUUAAACAGAGAGCCACUUUUCCUCGGUUUUCAGCAGAAGGUGCGGUUGACGAUGGCCAAGAGUCAAAGUUUGACUUGAAUGCGUGAGUCUCAUAACCUUGAAUUAGUCGGGUUAUAAGGGUGGCUUUCGGCCGAUUAUUACUGGUGAGAAACUCCUAUAAAUGGUUAAUGAUGAAGAUCAGUAAGUAACCGAUGAAAAAAGAAAAAUGUACAAAACAAAUUUAUUUUUGGUAUUUUUAUAUUUUACCUCGGCAGCCUGUGUGGCAGCUUUUCUAUCA